CCAGCAGCUGCGGUAAUUCCAGCUCCAAUAGCGUAUAUUAAAGUUGUUGCAGUUAAAAAGCUCGUAGUUGGAUUUCUGGCAGGAGCGACCGGUCUCACACUCUGUGUGAGAACUCGUGUUGUCUCUGGCCAUCCUUGGGGAGAUCCUGUUUGGCAUUAAGUUGUCGGGCAGGGGAUACCCAUCGUUUACUGUGAAAAAAUUAGAGUGUUUAAAGCAGGCAUUUGCUUGAAUACAUUAGCAUGGAAUAAUAAGAUAGGACUUUGGUUGCUAUUUCGUUGGUUUAUGGGACCGAAGUAAUGAUUAAUAGGGACAGUUGGGGCCGUUUAUAUUCCGUUGUCAGAGGUGAAAUUCUUGGAUUUACGGAAGAUAAACUUCUGCGAAAGCAUUCGGCAAGGAUGUUUUCA
rnacentral:rRNA from 1 species